rnacentral:rRNA from 1 species
CCUACGGGUGGCAGCAGUGAGGAAUAUUGGUCAAUGGCCGAGAGGCUGAACCAGCCAAGUCGCGUGAGGGAAGAAUGUCCUAUGGAUUGUAAACCUCUUUUGUCAGGGAGCAAAGUCACCCACGUGUGAGUGUUGGAGAGUACCUGAAGAAAAAGCAUCGGCUAACUCCGUGCCAGCAGCCGCGGUAAUACGGAGGAUGCGAUCGUUAUCCGGAUUUAUUGGGUGUAACGGAUGCGUAGGCGGGUUAUCAAGUCAGCGGUAAAAUCGUGGAGCUCAACUCCAUCCAGCAGUUGAAACUGACGGUCUUGAGUGGGCUAGAAGUGUGCGGAAUGCGUGGUGUAGCGGUGAAAUGCAUAGAGA